rnacentral:rRNA from 1 species
AGAUGGCGACCGGCGCACGGGUGAGUAACACGUAUCCAACCUGCCGAUAACUCGGGGAUAGCCUUUCGAAAGAAAGAUUAAUACCCGAUGGUAUAAUCAGACCGCAUGGUUUGAUUAUUAAAGAAUUUCGGUUAUCGAUGGGGAUGCGUUCCAUUAGGCAGUUGGUGAGGUAACGGCUCACCAAACCUUCGAUGGAUAGGGGUUCUGGGAGGAAGGUCCCCCACAUUGGAACUGAGACACGGUCCAA